rnacentral:rRNA from 1 species
AGUGAACGCUGGCGGUAGGCCUAACACACGCAAGUCGAACGGCAGCACAGUAAGAGCUUGCUCUUACGGGUGGCGAGUGGCGGACGGGUGAGGAAUACAUCGGAAUCUACUUUUUCGUGGGGGAUAACGUAGGGAAACUUACGCUAAUACCGCAUACGACCUACGGGUGAAAGCAGGGGAUCUUCGGACCUUGCGCGAUUGAAUGAGCCGAUGUCGGAUUAGCUAGUUGGCGGGGUAAAGGCCCACCAAGGCGACGAUCCGUAGCUGGUCUGAGAGGAUGAUCAGCCACACUGGAACUGAGACACGGUCCAGACUACUACGGGAGGCAGCAGUGGGGAAUAUUGGACAAUGGGCGCAAGCCUGAUCCAGCCAUACCGCGUGGGUGAAGAAGGCCUUCGGGUUGUAAAGCCCUUUUGUUGGGAAAGAAAAGCAGCAGGUUAAUACCCCGCUGUUCUGACGGUACCCAAAGAAUAAGCACCGGCUAACUUCGUG